GCUGGCCCUGCCAACAGUGACGCGUGAACCCCGCCAGGCCCGGAAGGGAGCAACGGUAGCGCGACCCACUGUGUGGCGGGGCCUUUUUU
rnacentral:SRP_RNA from 1 species